ACGGAUAUCUCGGCUCUCGCAUCGAUGAAGAACGUAGCGAAAUGCGAUACUUGGUGUGAAUUGCAGAAUCCCGUGAACCAUCGAGUCUUUGAACGCAAGUUGCGCCCGAAGCCUUCGGGCCGAGGGCACGCCUGCCUGGGCGUCACGCAUCGCGUCGCCCCCCCAACCCCGCUCGAACA
rnacentral:rRNA from 1 species